rnacentral:rRNA from 1 species
UCAAUAAGCGGAGGAAGCUUACGCUGUAGCUACCCUGUAGCUACCCGGUAGGUGCGCUCCAAGCCCGCCGGUGGACCACUAAAUUCUAUUUUACUACUGUAUCUCUGAAUGCUUCAACUUAAUAAGUUAAAACUUUCAACAACGGAUCUCUUGGUUCUGGCAUCGAUGAAGAACGCAGCGAAAUGCGAUAAGUAAUGUGAAUUGCAGAAUUCAGUGAAUCAUCGAAUCUUUGAACGCACAUUGCGCCCAUUAGUAUUCUAGUGGGCAUGCCUAUUCGAGCGUCAUUUCAACCCUUAAGCCUAGUUGCUUAGUGUUGGGAAUCUGCCCUGUAUUUAUAGGGCAGUUCCUUAAAGUGAUCGGCGGAGUUAGGGCAUACUCUAAGCGUAGUAAUAUUCUUCUCGCUUCUGUAGUUGUCCUGGCGGCUUGCCGUUAAACCCCUAUAUUUCUAGUGGUUGACCUCGGAUUAGGUAGGAAUACCCGCUGAACUUAAGCAUAUCAU